UGAGCAAUCUGCCCUUCUCUUCGGAAUAAGCGCUGGAAACGACGUCUAAUGCCGAAUACGACCUCCUUUCACAUGAUCGGAGGUGGAAAGCUCCGGCGGAGAAGGAUGAGCUCGCGGCCUAUCAGCUAGUUGGUGUGGGUAACGGCCCACCAAGGCGACGACGGGUAGCCGACCUGAGAGGGUGAUCGGCCACAUUGGAACUGAGACACGGUCCAGACUCCUACGGGAGCAG
rnacentral:rRNA from 1 species